GACCUAACCCUUAAUUUUUAGUUUAAGAUAUGGUCGAAAAUCCCAACGAAGAUACUGAACCCCGCGUUCAGCGACUCUUCGUUGGGUCAUAUCUCGAAAGGGGUAUGUGGCCGCAAGGCU
rnacentral:ncRNA from 12 species